GACGAACGCUGGCGGCGUGCUUAACACAUGCAAGUCGAACGGAAAGGCCCUGCUUUUGUGGGGUGCUCGAGUGGCGAACGGGUGAGUAACACGUGAGUAACCUGCCCUUGACUUUGGGAUAACUUCAGGAAACUGGGGCUAAUACCGGAUAGGAGCUCCUGCUGCAUGGUGGGGGUUGGAAAGUUUCGGCGGUUGGGGAUGGACUCGCGGCUUAUCAGCUUGUUGGUGGGGUAGUGGCUUACCAAGGCUUUGACGGGUAGCCGGCCUGAGAGGGUGACCGGCCACAUGGGGAGUGAGAUACGGCCCAGACUCCGACGGGAGGCAGCAGGGGGGAAUAUUGCACAAGGGGCGGAAGCCUGAUGCAGCAACGCCGCGUGCGGGAUGACGGCCUUCGGGUUGUAAACCGCUUUCGCCUGUGACGAAGCGUGAGGGACGGUAAUGGGUAAAGAAGCACCGGCUAACUACGUG
rnacentral:rRNA from 1 species